rnacentral:rRNA from 1 species
UACGAAGGGGGCUAGCGUUGUUCGGAAUCACUGGGCGUAAAGGGCGCGUAGGCGGCGCGACAAGUCAGGCGUGAAAGCCCCGGGCUCAAUCCGGGAAUUGCGCUUGAUACUGUCGUGCUUGAGGCCGGGAGAGGAUGGCGGAAUUCCCAGUGUAGAGGUGAAAUUCGUAGAUAUUGGGAAGAACACCGGUGGCGAAGGCGGCCAUCUGGACCGGUUCUGACGCUGAGGCGCGAAAGCGUGGGGAGCAAACAGG